UUUCUCACAUCAUGAGGUCAGCAACCUAAACUAUUAAAUUAAAAGAAAAACAAAAAUUGCUCAUAAUGUUAAUUCAAAGUAAAUAGAAACAUAAGAAGUACAAUUUCUUAUGAAAAUAAAAAAACAAAAAGAAAAACUAUAUUUCAGAUGAAAUUAUUAUUCUAUUAAGAGAUAUUGAACAAAGAUCUACAGAAGUUAAGAAAUUUGCAUCAUUAAUGUCAAAAAACACCUUAGAUACUAAUGCUACUCUGUUUUAUUCUAUGUCAUUUAUCAUGACAGUGGAUCAACUAAAUCUAAAAAUUAGGAUUAAACUAAUUCCAAAAACCUUUGCUUUUUGCUGUAGCUUGGUGUUGUCUCUCCUCUAUCUCCAACUUUAAAUAAUUCAAUUUCCCAUUUGACAUUUUGCAUUUUAACAUUUAUUGAUUUAAUGGGGUUAUAGAAUAUUAUCAUUUUAAUUUAUACCAUAAGGCAGUGAUGGGGACGUCCAGGGAGAAUUUUACAAAAGACUAUGGUUAUUUGAAAAAGGUUGGUAUUCUAAGUGAUGAGGCUGAAAGGUUAGAUUAUUAAAACAAAGGUAAGCCUUCUGGUGUUAAUAGAGGGGCAGCAGAACAGAAAACAGAGCCCUCCACAUUGCUAAAACUAAUACAAACCCAGUGGUGGGGCUGGCUUCCUUGCAAAGGUGAACGUUGGAUUUGUAAGGUCAGUAUCCAUUUCUUGUAAAUGUACUGAUAAUAGGCAAAUUGAAUCCUGUGUUACUACUUUGUAAUAUACAGAGUGAUGGUGAUACAGAAGCAAUUCAAAUUCAACUUGCUAGAUGCUUUAUACAAAACUAAAUUUUUUCCAGAUCUUUCACAUAUAAUGACUCUUUAAAAAAGACCCAACGUGGUUUCUACUAUAGACAGUGCAUACCUCUGGACUCUCAACUCCAUUUGGACCCUUUUCGCACUCACCAUAAUUUUCUUGUUAUUUUACUUAUAUGCCCUAUUUCAAAUAAAUAAAUAAUAAAGGUAUAUUUACUGAGAAUAACAUUAUGCCAAAUCAUGAGCAAUAAAUUAGUUCUCAAAGAACAAGAGAGAAAAAAAUUAACCAAGUGCUAGUUUCGUUAUCAACCUACAGUAAAAACUGAUUAAUGUAUACAGCUACAAGGUUUAAAAAGAUAUGAAUUAACUUUAUAUCAAUAUGUGUACCUCAUGGUAUAAUAUUUUAAAAUAUUUCUAUGAAUUGCUCAUAUAUAAAGGGAUAGAUAUGGAAAAAGAAAAAAGAAAACCCUUUGAAUUAAAAUUAUUUUUAAAAAUAUCAAAAAAAGGGGAAAAUCACUGAUUUUAAAUGUCCUUUUCUGGUACACAUUAGUUCAAAGAAGUGAGGUGUCUUUAUUGCAAAUGAGUGAAAGAGAAAGUCUGGGUGUGGUUAAUUCACAGUCCAAAUGUAUGUGUGAGAAAAGAGAGAGGAAAAAAAUUGGGAAAUACUCACCAAUGUUUGAAAAUCUGAUAGAUAUAAAAUGAAAUUACAUAACAUGUAACAUCUGAUUAUUUCAUGUAAGUAUUUUUAUGGUUUACUGGCAAUUUGGUUUCAUUUUUCUGUGAAUUUUCUUCCUCACCACCCUCCCCCUUUUUCUAUAGAGUAGUUUACCUUUUUGCUUAUUGAUGUGUACAUUUAUCCUGGGUACUAAUUUGCUGCUUGUCAUGUAAGUACCUAUGUCAAGCAGGUACUCAUAAAAAGAUGGAAUGAAAAAUAUGCAAGAGAUUAUGAGAUCUUCACUUUAGGGUGGUGAGUAGUCUUAGAAAGGAAGGAAGAGAAUGAGUUAAGGGAGGAUAUACUUCAACUCUUUAAAAUUUUAUUUGUUAAAAUUUUUGAAGUAAAUAUGGCAAAAUAUGUUUAACCCCACCUGAGAAAUGGGACUUACUAGGAGCUCAGAUUUCUCAAAGAUGAGGGUCUAGGUGGCCCACUGGGCAAACUCAAAUUGGCAUAGGUUCUAGUCAAGAGUAGGGGAGUCAAGGGAGUGUAGAAUGGGAUGUAGAAGAGAGAGAAAAUAAAAAUCACUUCCAAACUUGAGAUCAGCUGUGACAGCAUGAGCUAAAGUUCAUCCUACUGACCAUUCUCUUUUUACUUUUCUCAGGACGAGAAACCAGUCAAAAUCCUGGAAGAACUGCUCCCAGAUGGGGUAAACUUACUAUGAAGCAUGAUACAAGCAUCACAAGAGGAAAGCAGCUAUCAUGUAAAUCAACAGAAGUUUUACUUUGUGAAAACUUGUUCUCACCUUUAGAAAAUACAACACCAGCAGCAAUGUUAAUGUUUGAGAUUCCAGAACAACACAUUCAUAUCAAUCUGUUUUCAUAGCUGUUGAAUUAACAAAUAUUCUACAAACCACAAUUUUGAUCGCUUGAAGUCAGGUUAAAUGAAAUAGCAGACCCUGUAGAAACAUAUAACUUGGAAAAUAUUUACUUUAUAAUAGUAAAUGACAUGGUAGCACUCAGAAAGCACCUUCUCAGAGGAGCUGCGAUUCUGUGCAUGCAACAAGGAAACAACUGGACCAGAAAUACAGCUGUUAAAACUUGUCAGCCCAACAGGAAUGAUGAAUCUAUGUUGAGAAAUAAAUGGGUAUUUUAUUGGAGUAAGAGUUAACUUCCAUGGAAGGAAAAAAAAAGGUGGAAGGAAAUAAAAAGCUCUGCCACAUACACUUUUGGAGGCUAUAACACAGGGAGGAAGAAGUCAGGCCCCCUCCCUUGGAAUGAAGGGGCUGACGUUCUGGACAGAACAAUCCAGAAGUAACUGAAGAGCAGAGCACUGAAGAGGAGAGAGAAGCUCAGAGAGAGAACCCUGGAGACCUACAGAGGAUCCCUGCAAGUGUUCAGCUGAGUACUGAACUGUUAUGUAAAAGGAAGUGAUCUGUAUGUAACCAGGGAAAGGGUCCUCUGAAAGGAUAAGGUGUAAUAGUGCCCUGUGCUCAUACAAGACUGAGAAUAGUGUCAGUUCCCACCAUCCACAUGGGAAAACCUCAAGGUUUAUAGGGAAGUGAGUACACAGAGUGUCUUGGGUUUUACUUAAGUAAUGAAGAGGAAUUAGCAUUAGAUCGAGCUUUGCUCCAGUCCUCCUUAGCAAACCUGUCAACAAGAACCAAAAGACAGCCAUUUCUUUUUUUUUAAAUUUU